rnacentral:rRNA from 1 species
UACGAAGGGGGCUAGCGUUGCUCGGAAUCACUGGGCGUAAAGCGCACGUAGGCGGAUUGCUAAGUCAGGGGUGAAAUCCUGGAGCUCAACUCCAGAACUGCCUUUGAUACUGGGAAGCUUGAGUCCGGGAGAGGUGAGUGGAACUCCGAGUGUAGAGGUGAAAUUCGUAGAUAUCGGGAGGAACACCAGUGGCGAAGGCGACUUCCUGGCCUGUUCUUGACGCUGAGGCGCGAAAGCUAGGGGAGCAAACGGG